rnacentral:rRNA from 1 species
CCAGACUCCUACGGGAGGCAGCAGUGGGGAAUCUUCCGCAAUGGGCGAAAGCCUGACGGAGCAACGCCGCGUGAUCGAAUGAAGGCCUUCGGGUUGUAAAGAUCUGUUGACAGGGACGAAUAAGCCAUGCGAAUAGUUUGGUGUAUGACGGUACCUGUUUAGAAAGCUCCGGCUAACUACGUGCCAGCAGCCGCGGUAAUACGUAGGGAGCAAGCGUUGUCCGGAAUUACUGGGCGUAAAGGGCGCGUAGGUGGGUGCUUAAGUCAGGUGUGAAAACUCUGGGCUCAACCUGGAGACUGCACUUGAAACUGGCAGUCUCGAGUUGGAGAGAAGUAUGCGGAAUGCGCGGUGUAGCGGUGAAAUGCACAGAUAUCGCGCAGAACUCCGAUUGCGAAGGCAGCAUGCCGGCUCCACACUGACGCUGAGGCACGAAAGCGUGGGUAUCGAACAGGAUUAGAUACCCCAGUA